rnacentral:rRNA from 1 species
UACGAAGGGGGCUAGCGUUGUUCGGAAUUACUGGGCGUAAAGCGCACGUAGGCGGGUUUGUAAGUAGGGGGGGAAAUCCCAGGGCCCAACCCUGGAACUGCCUUCUAGACUGCAAGCCUGGAGGUCAGGAGAGGCGAGUGGAAUACCGAGUGUAGAGGUGAAAUUCGUAGAUAUUCGGUGGAACACCAGUGGCGAAGGCGACUCGCUGGACUGAUACUGACGCUGAGGUGCGAAAGCGUGGGGAGCAAACAGG